AGGACGAACGCUGGCGGCGUGCUUAACACAUGCAAGUCGAGCGGUAAGGCCUUUCGGGGUACACGAGCGGCGAACGGGUGAGUAACACGUGGGUGAUCUGCCCUGCACUCUGGGAUAAGCCUGGGAAACUGGGUCUAAUACCGGAUAUGACCUGCUCUCGCAGUGGGGGUGGGUGGAAAGAUUUAUCGGUGCAGGAUCGGGCCCGCGGCCUAUCAGCUUGGUUGGUGGGGUAAUGGCCUACCAAGGCGACGACGGGUAGCCGACCUGAGAGGGUGACCGGCCACACUGGGACUGAGACACGGCCCAGACUCCUACGGGAGGCAGCAGUGGGAAUAUUGCACAAUGGGCGAAAGCCUGAUGCAGCGACGCCGCGUGAGGAUGAAGGCCGUUAGGGUCGUAAACCUUC
rnacentral:rRNA from 1 species